UUAAAAUUGUCUGAUUUGGGGAUUAUGCUGUUGUCUUUUUUUCACAGGAUGCUGAAGGAAAUGAAAUAUCACGUGCAGGAGCACAUAUCAGGUUGGGAAGACAUGUUUCCACUUGGGGGAGGACACUUGCAUUUGAAGCUGCAAGUUGUAUUACUAUUUAGUGAUAAAGAGUGUGACAUAAUUCGUAUGAUGUACUACUUAUAUUUCUGAAAUCUUAACAUUCCUAAACAUAGAAAAUUAAUGGCCUUGGUAAGUUUUUGUGAUUAUGCUGA